AUUGAACGCUGGCGGCAGGCUUAACACAUGCAAGUCGAGCGGGGUGAUGGUGCUUGCACUAUCACUUAGCGGCGGACGGGUGAGUAAUGCUUAGGAAUCUGCCUAUUAGUGGGGGACAACAUCUCGAAAGGGAUGCUAAUACCGCAUACGCACUACGGGAGAAAGCAGGGGAUCACUUGUGACCUUGCGCUAAUAGAUGAGCAUAAGUCGGAUUAGCUAGUUGGUGGGGUAAAGGCCUACCAAGGCGACGAUCUGUAGCGGGUCUGUGAGGAUGAUCCGACACACUGGGACUGAGACACGGCCCAGACUCCUACGGGAGGCAGCAGUGGGGAAUAUUGGACAAUGGGGGGAACCCUGAUCCAGCCAUGCCGCGUGUGUGAGGAAGGCCUUAUGGUUGUAAAGCACUUUAAGCGAGGAGGAGGCUCUUUUGGUUAAUACCCAAGAUGAGUGGACGUUACUCGCAGAAUAAGCACCGGCUAACUCUGUGCCAGCCGCCGCAGUAA
rnacentral:rRNA from 1 species